rnacentral:rRNA from 1 species
GCCCGGAGAUAGCUGGUUCUCCCCGAAAUAGCUUUAGGGCUAGCCUCAAGGUGAGAGAUACGGAGGUAGAGCACUGAAUGUCCUAGGGGGUAUUGCACCUACCGAAGACUAUCAAACUCCGAAUGCCGUCAUCUUAUACUUGGGAGUCAGACUGUGGGUGAUAAGAUUCAUAGUCGAAAGGGCAACAGCCCAGAUCGUCAGCUAAGGUCCCUAAAUGUAAGUUAAGUGGUAAAGGAUGUGGGAUUGCACAGACAACCAGGAUGUUGGCUUAGAAGCAGCCACUCAUUCAAAGAGUGCGUAAUAGCUCACUGGUCGAGUGAUCCUGCGCCGAAGAUUUCCGGGGCUAAAACUUACUACCGAAGCUACGGCAUCAGUAAUGAUGGGUAGGGGAGCUUCCCAUACAGGUUGAAGCAUGACCGUAAGGACAUGUGGACAGUAUGGGAGUGAGAAUGUUGGCAUGAGUAGCGAGAUGUGGGUGAGAAUCCCACAGGCCGUAAACCCAAGGUUUCCAGGGGAAGGUUCGUCCGCCCUGGGUUAGUCGGGACCUAAGCUGAGGCCGAAAGGCGUAGGUGAUGGACAACAGGUUGAUAUUCCUGUACUACCGAUAACCGUUUGAGAGAAGGGAUGACACAGUAGGAUAAGUUAAGCACACUGUUGGUUAUGUGUGCCCAAGCAUUGAGGCAGUCAAAGCAGGCAAAUCCGCUUUGAUAAUGCUGGGAUGUGAUGGGGAGCGAAAUUUAGUAGCGAAGUAGCUGAUUUCACACUGUCAAGAAAAGUCUCUAUCGAGGUUAAAGGUACCCGUACCGCAAACCGACACAGGUGGGUGAGGAGAGUAUCCUAAGGCCAGCGAGAGAACUGUUGUUAAGGAACUCGGCAAAAUGACCCCGUAACUUAGGGAUAAGGGGUGCCACCAUCAGGUGGCCGCAGAGAAUAGGCCCAAGCGACUGUUUACCAAAAACAUAGGUUUCUGCUAAGUCGCAAGACGAUGUAUAGGAGCUGACGCCUGCCCGGUGCUGGAAGGUUAAGGGGAUCUGUUAGAGCAAUCGAAGCAGUGAACUUAAGCCCCAGUAAACGGCGGCCGUAACUAUAACGGUCCUAAGGUAGCGAAAUUCCUUGUCGGGUAAGUUCCGACCCGCACGAAAGGCGUAACGAUUUGGGCACUGUCUCAACAACAGACUCGGUGAAAUUGUAAUUCCGGUGAAGAUGCCGGAUACCUGCGACAGGACGGAAAGACCCCAUGGAGCUUUACUGUAGCUUGACAUUGGGUCUUGGUACUACAUGUACAGGAUAGGUGGGAGGCUUUGAAACCAGGACGCCAGUUUUGGCGGAGCCAUCCUUGGGAUACCACCCUUGUAGUACUGGGACUCUAACCAUAGGCCAUGAAUCUGGUCUUGGGACACUGUCAGGUGGGCAGUUUGACUGGGGCGGUCGCCUCCCAAAAGGUAACGGAGGCGCUCAAAGGUUCUCUCAGUACGGUCGGAAAUCGUACGUAGAGUGUAAAGGCAAAAGAGAGCUUGAUUGCAAGACAUACAGGUCGAGCAAGGAUGAAAAUCGGACUUAGUGAUCCGGUGGUUCUGCGUGGAAGGGCCAUCGCUCAACGGAUAAAAGCUACCCUGGGGAUAACAGGCUUAUCUCCCCCAAGAGUCCACAUCGACGGGGAGGUUUGGCACCUCGAUGUCGGCUCAUCACAUCCUGGGGCUGUAGUAGGUCCCAAGGGUUGGGCUGUUCGCCCAUUAAAGUGGUACGCGAGCUGGGUUCAGAACGUCGUGAGACAGUUCGGUCCCUAUCCGUCGCAGGCGUAGGAAAUUUGAGAAGACCUGUCCUUAGUACGAGAGGACCGGGAUGGACG